UAAAGUGAAAAAAAGGGACUUUUAAUUAUUCCAUGUGAAUGGAAAAUUGAUUUUUCUAUACAUUUCACAUGGAAUAAUUAAAAGUCCCUUUUUUUCACUUUAACCAAGU
rnacentral:miRNA from 1 species